AGAUCUGUAGCUUAGCGGUUGAAAGCACCUCUCUUACAAAGAGGAGACCGCAGGUUCGAGUCCUGCCAGAUCUACCA
rnacentral:tRNA from 1 species